GACGAACGCUGGCGGCGUGCUUAACACAUGCAAGUCGAACGAAGUGGCGAACGGGUGAGUAACGCGUACUCAACCUGCCCUUCAGAGGGGGACAACAGUUGAAAACGACUCCUAAUACCGCUUCCUGAAGGCGGGGAUUGCGUCUGAUUAGCUAGUUGGAGGGGUAACGGCCCACCAAGGCGAUGAUCAGUAGCCGGUCUGGGUGGAGGAACGGCCCAAGUGGGAAUGGGUACCGGCCCAGAACCCUACGGGAUGCAGCAGUGGGGAAGCUUCCGCAAUGGACGAAAGUCUGACGGAGCAAAGCCGCGUGAGUGAUGACGGCCUUCGGGUUGUAAAUGUAUGUUAAUCGGGACGCGGUACCGGAAUAGAAAGCCACGGCUAACUACGUGCCAGCAGCCGCGGUAAUAC
rnacentral:rRNA from 1 species